rnacentral:rRNA from 1 species
UACGUAGGUGGCGAGCGUUGUCCGGAAUUACUGGGCGUAAAGGGAGCGUAGGCGGUUUAUUAAGUGAGAUGUGAAAUACCCGGGCUUAACUUGGGAAUUGCAUUUCAAACUGGUUGACUAGAGUGCAGGAGAGGAAAGUGGAAUUCCCAGUGUAGCGGUGAAAUGCGUAGAGAUUGGGAGGAACACCAGUGGCGAAGGCGACUUUCUGGACUGUAACUGACGCUGAUGCUCGAGAGCGUGGGGAG